UCCCUAUCUGCCGUGGGUGUAGGAGGUUUGAGAGGCUUUGUCCCUAGUACGAGAGGACCGGGAUGAACGUACCUCUGGUGGAGCUGUUGUCGCGCCAGCGGCAGUGCAGCAUAGCUAUGUACGGACGGGAUAACCGCUGAAGGCAUCUAAGCGGGAAACCCCCCUUAAAACGAGACCUCCCUUGAGGGCCGUGGAAGACGACCACGUCGAUAGGCCGGGGGUGCAAGCGCGGCGACGCGUUGAGCCGACCGGUACUAAUCGCCCGAUUGGCUUGAUCG
rnacentral:rRNA from 1 species